GAUGAACGCUGGCGGCGUGCCUAAUACAUGUAAGUCGAGCGAAUGGAUUAAGAGCUUGCUCUUAUGAAGUUAGCGGCGGACGGGUGAGUAACACGUGGGUAACCUGCCCAUAAGACUGGGAUAACUCCGGGAAACAGGGGCUAAUACCGGAUAAUAUUUUGAACUGCAUGGUUCAAAAUUGAAAGGCGGCUUCGGCUGUCACUUAUGGAUGGACCCGCGUCGAAUUAGCUAGUUGGUGAGGUAACGGCUCACCAAGGCAACGAUGCGUAGCCGACCUGGGAGGGUGAGCGGCCACACUGGAACGGAGACCCGGCCCAGACUCCUACGGGAGGCAGCAGUAGGGAAUCUUCCGCAAUGGACGAAAGUCUGACGGAGCAACGCCGCGUGAGUGAUGAAGGCUUUCGGGUCGUAAAACUCUGUUGUUAGGGAAGAACAAGUGCUAGUUGAAUAAGCUGGCACCUUGACGGUACCUAACCAGAAAGCCACGGCUAACUACGUGCCAGCCGCCGCGGUAA
rnacentral:rRNA from 1 species